AAAGCAUCUGUGCUUUGGUUCUGUUUGUGCAUAUAUAGAGACAGGACUGGCAACUGUUCUAUAACCCAAAUGUGGCCCACUGUUAAGAGACCUGUUCUACCACAGCCAGAAGGGCUAUCUAAUGCAGGACUGUGUGAACUAAAUGUUAGCUAUUGUUGUUAAUAUUAGUUCCUCACAUAUAAGAAUGAUCAGUCCUGGACUUUUUGUUGUUACUAGUCUCUGUGACACAGAGGCUUAUUUCUAUGAACCUGCGGUUCAGGACAAAAUUAUACUCUGUGCUGAUGUCAUUUCAUGUCACUUUGAUAGUUCCCGGAACUUUUCGGUCAAAUAAUGCCAAAUGCAUAUUAUAAGACCACACGGAUAACCACUGCAAUUCACUGUCAUUCAUCUGAUACACUUUAUAUAGACAUCUAAAUACUCAGAUGCCACACUGCUAUUUAUGUCAUGUGAUUAAGUUUUCCUAGCAAAGGCUCAAGGUUAAGAUGAAGGAAAUGGGUCUCAUCUACGAUUCUGAGAGAAGUAGGAAGGAUGUGAAUGUGGCCUGAGAGACAACAGUGGGAACAAGAAUCACAGACAGGCCACUGUGUUGGAGGGAGUUCAACAGAGAGCAGCAUUUUGCGGUGUGUGCUGUCUGUGCACUAAUGAGUGCAGAAAGGGAAGGGGGGGGGAGAAAAAAAAAAAAAAAAAAAAAAAAAAAAAAAAAAAAAAAAGAAGGGGGGUGGACAGAAUCGCUAUGGAGAUCUGAGUGUUAAUAGGCAUUUGUGCUCUGUAGAUGUAGCUGCAAGUAAACUAAAGCCAAAGCAGCAACCCAAGGAACUGAACUCAGAAAGCACUCAGAAAGUAGUGCACUACUGAAAAACAGCAAGUUACUCAGGAGGAAUGAACCUAGCUUGGUCUUGUUGAACGUGGUGACCCCAACCACUCUGCCUGCUCAUUCUUAACUUUCUCUUCAUGGUUUUGUGCUGGACGUAGGACACAUCAAGUCCUAUAGAAAUCUACUGGAAAAUGUUUCUUUUUUUGCAUCUAAACAUUUUGCCAUUAAGCUUAUAGUCUCAGUCACUCAUUUUGGGUCAUAUUGAAUUUAUAUUCUGCUAGAAAACAGGUACAAUGAUUUAUUGAAACAGGCGCAAAUACACAUGAACAUACAGUGUAAGGCAACAAAAAAAGUGUUUGCACUAUUCUAACAAAAUUUAUCAUUCAACACAGCCUAAACUCUCGCACUGAAGCCUUCUUGUAAUUUCUGUCAGUAGUCUCCAGGAACAGUUCUUUAGGCUUCUUGAAAAACAUUCAAAGAUCUCAUUUGGCAAACAAUGGGUGGAUCAACUCAAAGGCCAGAUGCAUUUCCCAGGUCCUGUAUCAGGUCUCUGCACACCAAGCAGAGAUAUGCCAAGUUUUCAGCCAAUAGCUCUUUGAGAAUUAACUUGUAAAAUUAUAUUUUUGCACCGACAUCUGUCAAACUGUCAUCUUUGAAAUUUUUUGCACAUUCAACUAAAGAAAUGAGAGCAAAUUAUGUGUUUUUGCAACAAGCUGCUGGUAACAAAGCACUUAAAGUUACAAUUCAUAACAUAUACAUUGUGAAGUCUUCUGCUAUGUGUAGACAUAACACAGAACAGCGAAGUAUUUGGUUAAUGGUGAGUUUAAGAUUUCAUUUAUCCAAACUCACCAUUAUGUGCGUGGUCGCUAUUUUUUCUAAGGUCCAUAUUGGUUAACAAUGAAAAGCCAUCUCAUCGGGGAUUCAAACCUCUUACACCCCAAGUUUGAAUCAGUAGUUUAUAAUGGUUCAUGAUGUUUUAGUUUCUUAUCUUUUCAGAAACAUGUCUGUAUACAGGAAAGGCUGUUACGUGAUUGUCUUAAGCCCAAGCAUCUUACAAAACACAAAUGUUUGUACUGUAAGCCAGUACUAGACUGACGUAGAGCAAAAGUUAUUUGAGCAAGAGUCUAACUGGGUGAAAUGACCAAAAUUAGUUUAUUUUGUGUUCCGUGCUUCCUGUUUUCAUCACAAUCAGAAUCAGAAUACUUUAUUAAUCCCGAAGGAAAUUAGGGUUACAGCAGGCAGCACGCUAAUGGCGCAUGCUGUACUUACAAAGGAACCUUCUGACCAACUUUAAAAAAUAAAUAAAUAAAAAUACAUAACAUGAGUUAAGAGGAGGAGGGGGAAAAAAAUACAUAACAUGAGGUAAGAGGAGGAGGGGGAAAAAAAAAACAAAAACUCUACUCAGACUGAGCUCCUAGUGGGAGAACAGUUUGAUAAUAGAAAAAAACACCUCAGCACAAAAAGCACAUGACUGUCAAUACACCAUAGAAACACAAGACAAGCAACAGGGGCAGGUAAAGGGUAAGAGAGAGCCGGUGUAGACAGCGCAUCCGGUCCUGCAGCAUGUCUGCGCUGGUCCAGUUGACUGCCAUCUUCCCCGGUAGGGCACAAGCAUCGAAGGCGUUUGGAAAGGGAGGGGGGGAGUCAGUGUAUGUGUGUGUCCAGAGUUCAGCUGAGACAGUGUCCUUCGCCCCGCCAGGCUAAGUAAACAGUCUUCCAGCCAACCCAGGUGGCCUUGCAUGGAAUGGGGGGAACAGUCUAAACACAGUCGUUAUGAGGGUGUUUUGUUCAGCUCCAGCCUUGAGGCCGCAGCUGGCGUCGAAGGGGUCUCCGCAUGAAGUGAUGAUAGUUUUUACUUUAGUGCGAACAACUCAUAAAUUUCAAAGCUGUUCUAACAGUCCAACACUGGUCUCUCAAUCUCCCCUUGGAGAGCCGUGAGCUUUCUAUGAUGUUAUCCAAACUUACGUUCCAAGCUCCAAAGAGCUGGCGAAUGGAAGUAGAGCACAAGACCAACAGACGGUCUAACUGACAAUCAUUCACAAAUUACUUUUUAUUAUAGUAUACUGAAACUAUGAAAUCAAAUUCAGUCUACUUCAAUCACAAGACUAACCUUACGGAGUACAUCCACUGACUGGAGCACUUUAGAAAAACUAAGUGCUAACAUUAAAACCAUUAAUCCAUUUAAAGAGAGGAAAUUGCAAUAAACCACACCCAAACAGCCUCAAACGUACACUUUUACAUCUGAUGCAAUAAUAACUCAAAUGUGUGACGAAAAGUAAACUCUCCUAUGAGAAUCAAGUACAAAUCUUUUUUCCAUGUUGGUCAGAUCUUUUUUGAUCCUUUUGCAUUUCUUCCUCUUUACUGUAAUGUAAAACAUGUUUACAGAUUAUUUAAAUGAUAGAGUGAAAAAUCUUGCCGUAUAAUAACAAAAGCUCCCAGUGAAACUUCUGAAAUACACUGAGGACUCAUGUAACCUCUAGAUUGCAUAAGUCAUUCAGCCUUAGAAGUGAGGAAGUAGGGGGUGAAAAAAAUGUCUCAAACAAGUACACAAAAACUGUGGAGUACAUUUGCAAAUGUAAAGAAAUUAGCAUACAUAUAACAGAGAUACAGAGAUGUAAUUUGAUGCUCUAUGUAUAUGAGUUUAUGUGACAACGAAUUUAAUGUCAUGUUACGCUGUUACUUGGAAGUAAUGGAACAAAUUACUUAAUGACCCAUCAGAGAAAGUAACACUGCAUUAUUUUUAAGAAAAGUAAUGAAUAAUAUGCAAUUUAUUAUUUUAUUUAAUUUCUUGCCCCACUCUUUUUUUUUUUGUAACACCCCUAACACUGAUGAGGUAAGUUUCUAAAGACUAAAGGUAGCUCCAAACAAAUGUUUCAUUGAAUUUGUUGCACUUGAGAUCUAAGCUCAAUCAUAUGUGUAAUCAUGUGCGCUAGUCUAUCCUGUCUGUUUGUCUUUCAAAUAUAAGGGAGGAGCUUGUUCUCUUUAUUCUACUCCUGCUUGAAGUCAAGUAAACCCCACUGGGCAUAAGAUACUGUCUCAUUCUGGGCAGGAUGCUUGAACGUAUAGUUUCACACACUCUCUCACACACACACACACACAACACUACUGAACAGUGUGAGUCAGCGCAUACCAGUGAUACCUGCUAGGAAGAAGAACCUGCUAGGAGGAGUUUUACCUUCACAGUGUAUGCAGAAACAAAGCCUGCUCAGCAUCUUGCCUGGAAACUCCCUUGAAUUGUCCACCCAUUAACACAAACAAUGGCACUCCUGAGUUUAGAUAAAACAUGUGCACAAAAGCAUGUUUUGUGAUCAGCAUUGUUUGCACUUGAGUUGUUAUUUGACAGGUUCAGGUGACUGGGUUUAAACUUUCUCUGCGUUCUGGCAUUUAGGUAAAAAGGUAUGUGGAGCCACAUUUCCAAUGGAUUUUAGAGACAACCAGUCAAUUUCACAUUACCAGAAUAUAC
ensembl:lncRNA